UGCCCCAGGGCCCCACAACAUGUCGGGGCGGCGGAUGUGGGGGAUGGGCUCCAAGAGGAUGAGCGGUGAUGGAGGAAGAGUCCGCUACACCACCUACCACGGCGCCAACGAGGACGAACUCGAAGACAUCGCCGUCGUGUCCAACGCUGACCCGGGCCAGGUCAAGUAUGGUUCCGGCCCCAUCACCGCCAACGGUCCCCGGGUCAUUCCAGGGAUCAUCACUACACAGCGAAUGAGUAUGUCCGGUAGUCGCCUUAACACAGGCUCCCCCGUCUACAUCGAGAAACCUCAGGGCUCCCUCAAGGGUAAGUCCGUCUCCCGCCAGUCCCUGCUCGACAUUGUAUCCUCCAAGAUCAGCAUCGGCAGCAGGAAGCGGUUCUCCAGAGAGUCCUUCUCGGCGUCCUACGUUAACCGCGCCCAUGUGGCCUCCGAGCUCGACAUAAGCCGGAAGACUCGGGAGGCUCGCAAGAAGGAGAUCAAGAGCCGGUUUAGUAAAGUGGAUAAGUGGGAGUCGAGCACCAGUAGUUCGGAUAAGAAGACGGGGUGUAGAUGGACCUUUGUAUUCGACCCGGCGGGGAGACUCUGUUACUACUGGUCUCUGGUUGUGUCGUUAGCAUUUUUGUACAAUCUGUGGGUGAUGGUGUAUCGCUUCGCCUUCCAAGAGAUUACCAGAAACAGUAUUCUUGUUUGGUUUUUGUUGGAUUAUUUCGCUGAUCUGAUAUACGUUUUAGAUAUCCUGUUUCACUUCCGGACCGGGUACCUGGAGGAUGGGGUGUUACAGACUGACUCGCGCAAAUUGAGACAACAUUACAUGAACUCCACUACCUUUUACGUUGACUGUUUAUGCUUGUUACCGUUAGAUUUCUUGUAUUUAUCCAUAAACUUUAAGUCCAUAUUGAGAUGUUUUCGCUUAGUGAAGAUCUACAAGUACUGGCACUUUCUAGAUAGAACUGAAAGACACACCAACUCUCCCAACCUGUUCCGUUCCAUCAGUCUUAUACACUACCUGUUGGUCAUCUUUCACUGGAACGCUUGCCUCUUCUAUAUCAUCGCCAAGAACGACGGCUUCAGCUUCAAACCCCAGUUCGUCUAUUCCAACAACGCUUCUGAAGACGUGGUUCUCGAAUACCUUAAAGUCUUUUACUGGUGCACCCUCAGCCUCACUACCAUCGGAGGUAAUCCAAUCCACGAAGAUCCAGGUAACAGAACGCGACACUUGGCGACCCUUAACACCCGCACCAAAACCGACUACCUCUACCAGAUCGCCCAGCUUAUGUUUGGUCUUCUCCUAUUCGCCACCGUCCUCGGCCACAUCGCCAAUAUCGUCACCAACGUUUCCGCCGCCAGGAAGGAAUUUCAAGCCAAGCUGGACGGCGUCAAGACUUACAUGCGCAUGCGCAGAGUCCCGGCACACCUGCAGGCGAAAGUGAUCAAGUGGUUCGAUUAUCUGUGGCUGACGCAGAAGUGCUCAGACGAGGAGAAGGCCGUCAGCUGUUUACCAGAUAAGCUGAAGGCGGAGAUGGCUAUACACGUACACUUGGACACGUUGAAAAGAGUUGAGAUCUUCCAAAACACAGAGGCGGGCUUCCUGUGUGAGCUAGUUCUUCACCUCCGACCUGUUCUCUUCUCCCCCGGCGACUAUAUCUGCAGGAAAGGGGAGGUAGGCAAAGAGAUGUAUAUAGUCAACCGCGGUAAGCUGCAUGUGGUGGCGGACAACGGCAAGACCAUGUUGGCUACACUGAAGGCUGGCUCAUACUUCGGCGAGAUCUCCAUCCUCAAUAUGGGCACUGCAGGUAACAGACGGACGGCGUCAGUCCGGUCGGUGGGCUACAGCGACCUCUUCGUGUUGUCUAAGAAGGACAUGUGGGACGUGUUAAAGGAGUACCCCGCCGCCAGGGUCAGACUCGAGGCCAUCGCAGCCAAAAGACUCGAAAAGUACAAAAAAGCCCCGCUGGAGAAAGCCGCCAUGGGUCGGAGUAGCUCCACCCCUGGCUUGGUCGAGUCCACCGGCAGAGUGCCCCUGGAGGAGAUGUGGCUGCCCCCAGUGCCCCCAAUGAAGUUGCCCCCGCCUUGCCCCACCCCAGGCUACAGCCCCGCUACCAGUCUCAGAUCCCGGGCGCACCGAUCCCAGACGUUGGAGUCAGAGAGAUUCACGCUGGAGUCUGCCUUGAGUGACUCCUCGUCUAGACAUUCUACUGACGACGACAAGGGUACCCACACCCUCCAGCACCCGUUCAUCCAGGGCCCCCCACCACACUCUGCAGGCACCACGGCCAGCGUCACCUCAUACGACAGUGCGGACAAGAGAUCAACCAUCACCUCCCCUAGCAACGUCAUGUCACCGGUUACAUCACCCAACUACGGAUCGUCAGGGGUGGCGUACACUCUACCAGUGCCGCCGCCUCUCACUGACCACAGCACUUCCCCUGCUUCUGACCUGGGCCUCUCACCUGCCUCUCUGAUUGUUACUCCAGGUAUGCUACAAGGAUCACAUAGUGCAGGGGCCUUAACUCGGGAUUCCUCACCUCAAGAACUCCUGCUGGGAGAAAUCAGACGUCUACGGGAACGCCUGGUCAGCUUGGAGACGGAGAAUGCCACUAUGACCAUGAAACUAACGCAACAGCAGUGGGAGGUUGAACAUAGGUUACACGAGAUAGAGCUUCAGUUGUGUCCGAAUUCGAGUAAUACCUCUAGCGCCGAUGACAAUGAGAGGAACCGCGAGAGUAUUAUUUAGAAUGGUGUUACUGUACUUGGUGUGGAGUGUUGACGGUAGAGGAAGUUAUUAGACAGGUACAGACAGGUGUUAAGUUGUUAUUAGACAGGUAUAGUGUUAUUAGACAGGUACAGACAGGUGUUAAGUUGUUAUUAGACAGGUACAGAGGGUGUUAUUAGACAGGUACAUACAGGUGUUAAGUUGUUAUUAGACAGGUACAGAGGGUGCUAUUAGACAGGUACAGCAGGUGUUAUUAGACAGGUACAGCAGGUGUUAUUAGACAGGUACAGACAGCGGUUAGUAGACAGGUAUAGUGUUAUUAGACAGGUACAGAUGGUGUUAUUAGACAGGUGUUAUUAGACAGGUACAGGCGGUGUAAUAAUAGGCUUGUGAACUGUGUAUACAUGAUUUCAGAAGAUGUUAUGGACGGUGAAAUUGGACAGUAACACCAGCAGCAACACUGAGAGCGACAGAUAGAGAGAGAGACGGAAAGAGAAAGAGACAGAAAGUGAAAAUAACAGACAGACAGAGAAUGCAGGUGUGACAGUAUUGUGUAGAGGUGUGACAGUAUUAUGUAGAGUUGUGACAGUAUUAUGUAGAGUUGUGACAGUAUUAUGUAGAGUUGUGACAGUAUUAUGUAGAGUUGUGACAGUAUUAUGUAGAGUUGUGACAGUAUUAUGUAGAGUUGUGACAGUAUUAUGUAGAGUUGUGACAGUAUUAUGUAGAGUUGUGGCAGUAUUAUGUAGAGUUGUGGCAGUAUUAUGUAGAGGUGUGACAGUAUUAUGUAGAGUUAUGACAGUAUUAUGUAGAAGGCGACGAGAAAAUGCCAUGUAGAACAGGGUGAUCCAACCACCUUUGCUUAUUUCAUUUCCAUAUAUACAUGCCCUGGAUAGCUAAAAAAAAUGCCCUGGGUAGCUAAAAAAAAUGCCCUCUCAAGUAGCCAUCGGAGCUCUAUCUGUCUAUUGAGUCGCUAUCCAUUAUUUGGUAGUCCUGAAAGAGAGGAAACUGAACAUAUAUCAAGAGGAGACGAACAGAGAUAAUUGAGAAUAAGAAGAAAGAGGGAUAGAAGUCAUAGAAAACGUACAAGUUAUACGGUAGAGAAAACGUAUAAAAGGGGGGACUGAAAUAUAAUUGUUAGAAAUGGAAAAUGAAAGAUCGUGAUGAAUGUAAUGAGUGAUAUACUAAAUUGAUAGAAUAAGGGAGAAAAUAGAGAAGGGGGAAUAAAGCAUAAUAGACAGAAUAUGUGUUAGAAAGUGUGAUGUUAAUAGGAGGAAUUGGAUAAAUUAAUGAAAGGGAAGAUGGAGCAUAAUAUAUCGAGUGAAAGUAAAAUGCAGCACAGUACUGUAGUUAAGUUGGAGGUAUGUUAUAUGAGGGCAAGACGGGCAGCACACUUAUAAUAGUAAUUUAUAGAAAUUUCAAUACUUACAUGAAUUUCCUAUUACACUUAACGCCGUCUUCAUUUCCAAUAUUUUUUUAUAAUACCUGUAUAACGUAAAUCAUAUUUUUACAUAGUAUUUAAUAAAAACAAAGUAAAAUCACUACCUUUUGACGUUGUGCCAAAAAUUAACCUUCUGAAUUUUAGUGAUAUGUAGAAAGACUUUAGAAAUCUGUUUAAGCACUGCCACAUAUAUGCAUAUAUAUAUAUGUACUGUAUACAGCGUGUGUAUAUUUUUUCGUUGAAUUAAGUGAACACUACUAAAGAGUAAACACAUAUUCUAGAUUUCAAAAAUUGUGUCUUAAAAUAACCAUCAUCAUAUCAUAGGAGUUUAUGAACGGUUUAAAACACAUAAGACAUACAUUAUACAUAACAGUGGCAAAUUAUAACACAAUUAAAAAAAAACACAAUUUAUUAUGUACAGAACUUACUGUAUGUACAAGUGAUGUGCCAAAAAUGUACAAUUUAGAUUUGUGCCAGAACGAUUAUUCGGGUGUUCAGCGAUUUUCUGAACUAGUACAAGAAUUAAAUACAUUCUGAAUUGUCAAGAAAGUAUAGAGAGAAUUGAAUGAUUGAUGGUUACACACAUAACAAAUUGUCUCAAAGGUAAACGCAUGAUAGUAUGUCGAGCGAUACACCACUGUGUAUAAUGGAGGAAAGAACAAGUAUAUCUGCUGAAAGGUUAUACCAAAUUGUACAUUGAAAGAAUAUAUUCCAGACUGUAGUAUAUGUUCAAGAUUUAAACCAAAUUGUAUAUCUCGUAGGAUAUCAGUAUACCUGUACUGUAAUUUGCAUGUUAAAGGGAUAUAUAUAAAUACCUGUACUACCUUGUAUUUUGUAAGGAAUAUAGUCAAUUAGGUUGGUGGGUUAUAUGAAAUUGUGUGUUCAGAACUAUACUGUACCUGUUUUAGCCACUGUCAACACCACCUUAUAUACCUGUCUAAAUUACUACCUGUCAAACACACCUCUUCUCCACCUCUCUCUCUCUCUCUUCUCUCUCUCUUACUCUCUACCCCUCUCACUACACAUCUCACUACAUAAUGAAUCAGUCAUAUCUAAAUUUGGAAAUACCAAUAAUAGAGGAUCCUAGCGUGGUGAGGCAGGGCAUUACCUCCUGGCGUUAAGGGCCUGCGGUGUGAUGAGUAAAUGACGCGUUCGUUUAUAUUUUAGUUUAAAGAGGAGUAAUUGAGUCUUUGGUGACGUGGUUGAGGCUGUACUUAAACGUAGAUAGUCAUGUGGUCAUCAACGAGGUGCUUGAUAUGUUGAUGACGUUGUUGAGUCGUUAAUGAGGUGGUUGGAGUGAUUAACGACAUGGUAGGGGGGAGGGGGUUGUUAAAACGCUCCUUGAAUUGUUGACCUAAGUUGUUUUUUUAGCCAUAAUUGCAACACAAUCAUCCCAAUCAAUUUUUUAAAUAUAUAAAUAUAUAUAAAUAAAUAAAUACAUAUAUAUAUAUAUAAUAUAUAUAUAUAUAUAUAUAUAUAUAUAUAUAUAUAUAUAUAUAUAUAUAUAUAUAUAUAUAUAUAUAUAUAUAUAUCUGUAGUAAAGCUGAGUGCCGUGAACAGCUGGGUUAGACCAGUUGUGUUAUAUCCCACGGUGUUCUCACUGUAGACCAGUUACUACAAUAUCCACGCCACCUGUACCCAGCGUUAUUACCUCUUGUCUUCUGCUGGCUGCUGGAAGGAAGAUAAAUACACAAACUUAAGAGAAUGAACAGUGAUUAUUCUCGAUAACCCUGCGGCGUGUUUGGUUCCUGAGGUUGGUGGCUCGCGGCUGUGUAUCAAGUGAUUCUCGCCCUUUAGUACAGCGCGAGGACUAGCCAAAGAUAAUCUGAAAAGAUGAUUAUGCAGUGUAUAAGAACAGCUUGAGUAUUAAGCGGUUUACUGCAUAUAUAUUAUCUCUCAUGUACAGGAAUAGCUCUAUGAGUUUACAGAAAAUAUUUAUGGCGUGGGUACACAAGAUGUGCUCAAAGUCAUCGGUCCAUUUCUUUACGUUUUUCCCGCCACAACAAUUAGGUGAUGAUACAUGGUGGCGAGUGAGUGUCCUCCAAGACGUAGUAAAUGUAUGCACAAUCACUUAUGUGCACCUCCAGAGUCGUCUUACGCAUCGGUGAAGUGAUGCACAUCUCUUGUCCUCGCGCCACAUGUCUUUAUAGUUAUUAAAUAUAUAUGUAACUCAUAUAGUAUUUUCUAAUACCGGCCUAGGACUGAUACAGACUUGGGUCACAGCGCCGUUCUGUUGUUUGUAAGUCUCCUUUUCUACAGUAGAGUUUUCUUAUUGUUAUAAAUAUACAUAUAUAAAUAAAUAUAUAUAUAAACAAAAAUAUAUGGUAAUAGAAUUGCAGUAUUUCAUGGAAUAUAAAUACCGUGAAUAACUUAUAUCUUGGGCGGAGUGCCAACCUUCUCCUUAAUGCAAGUGUGCCAUUAUACUGACGGUGGGGAGGACCUUGUGGUGGUGUUAGUGGAUGUGGCGGUGCUGACCCAGGCCACCCACUGAUCCUACAGAACUCAGAGCCAGGCCAUCACAAGGUCUCCUGCGGUAUAUAACUUUCAAUGUUGAAUUUUUUUUUAUUGAAUCACUUGUUUACGCCCGACUUAACCUGGAGCUUGUUAGCCAUUCCUUUUGAGGCUCACUACACUACACUAUUCAGUAGACUAAUAAUCAUGUUUAAGCUCUUGUUAAUGUUAACCUUUUGUUUGUCUUAGGCUUUUUUGACAUUUGAUAAGGUUAUAUAGUCUGGAUGGUUCGUAGAGUAAGGAGGAGGUAAUUAAGUUUUAUUUCAAGUAUGACGAACUUUAUCCACGAAAAAGAACAAUGGUUUCACAAACUAUAUCGAUGACCAUAUUCCAAAAACACAUUUGAUUCCAUCCAUGCACGCGAGACGAAUUAUUUGAGUGAAGUUAUGAUUUUGUCAGAUCUUAAUACCAAUUUUUCCCGCCAAAUAUGUCAGUUGUUUCACAAAGUUCCCGCCAAAUGUAGUGAUUAUUUCUUGUAGUGUGUGAGACGAUUGUCAUGUGUAUGGCAGGAAGGAAGCCGCCGGCAAGUUACUGUGGGGGAGGUAUAGGGCGCUCUACAAAUACAAUAUAACCAUGAUAUCAUUUAUUGUAAAUUUACAACUUUAAAUACUUUUGCUAGGAAAUUUUUGAGAUAUUAGAAAUUAUAAAAAAUAUAUAUAUGAAUGCAGUCCAUGGUUGCCAGUUAUUGUAAGGCACUUCAAUAUAUAAAGUUCAAUCUUUUAACAAUCUUUUAACGAUCUCAUAAAGUAAUUAGGAUAGUUCAUCUUUUUAUACAUUAAUUUCAAACACAAGAAAUUAUUGAAUUUGAAAGUUAUGUCCAGUUGCCUUAGUGGCUAAUUAGGGUCACCUGAAAAUUAACCCUCAGCACAUUUCACCUGGUGAUUAACCACCUUAACGCUAACGUAACCUAUCCUAAUGUUAACAUAACUUAAUCCAAACCUAAUGUCACCAAAACCUAAUUUAAUGCUAACCUAACCAAACGUAACCAAAGCUAAUUUAACCUAAUGGCUAACCUAACAACCCAACCUAGCGCUAACCUGACAACCCAACCUACCGCUAACCUGACAACCCAACCUAGCGCUAACCUGAAAACCCAACCUAACGCUAACCUGACAACCCAACCUAGCGCUAACCUGAAAACCCAACCUAACGCUAACCUAACCUAAAUUAACCCCUAUGUAGCGUUAUGGUGUUUAAGCAAGUGAAAUAAACUGUAGAGGUUAAUCUACAGGUCAUUCGCUAAUUACUGUAUUAUAUUUAUUAAAGAAUCGUGACCAGUUGACGACAGUGAAGUUCAGCUGGAGUACAAUAAACACAAUAACUAUUACAAUAUCUCGUAAAAGUGACUCAUACAAUUCUCUCGAAGCUUCAGCACAAAUAGUUAUCUCCGUAGUGGUGUGGCGACUCACUGACUCACCACCACACUGACUCAUCUCCACACUGUGACUCCCCUUCAUGCUGAUUCACACGACCGCAUUGACUCACCUCAAGACUGACUCAUCUUCAUACUGACUCACCACCACACUGACUCACACACUAAUUCUCACCAACACGGAAAAGCUUAGACCCCGUACGAUAUCUGACACUAAUCCGUACUCGUUAUACCUUAUAUCAGAAUAAAAGUUAAUGAAGAUCAACCACAAAAAAAUAAAUAUCAAGAAAUAAUAUCAAGAUUACACUAAUAUUUUACCUUAAAGUACAUAACAGUCACGCAUUACCAGACGAAAUUAAGGCAAGACGUUAUAAAUAUUGUGUACGUCAAUUUUGUCUCCUUGCUGGUGAUAAAUGAAUGUAUGCAGUUAAUGUAAAGUUUUUGUUUGAUGUUUUACUAUUUUUAACAUAUCUUUUAUCUUGCGUUAAAUUAUUAAGUACGUACUUUCUUGACAUUUUCUGAAAUAUACAUCAACCAAUCAAUCGGGUACUGUCAUUAUGCCCCAAACUUAACUUAACCUAAAAAGUCUAGUAUCGUGUAAAACAACACUUUGUAAGGGUAGGUUAUGAUAAACUGAUUUGUUAUCAUUUACAAUAUCUAGUUCAUUAUAACAUAGAUUAUAAUAACUUUUUAACGCAGGACAUAAAGUAUAUCUCUCAAUAAUAAUGAUCUAAGAAGUCGUACGAUAACUUCACCUCCAGACUGACAGAGUAACUCACCAUUGUUCUGUGCUAACUUUUUACCAGGACAUAAAACAAUUUUAUCUGCCAUAUGACAAAACCUUGAUGAAUUUUAAUGUUGCUCAGCCCAAGGCAAUCCUAUGCAAGUGUAAUAUAUACAUAUUCAGUGAAGUUAACUGUGAAUAUAAAUUGUAAGAAUGAAUUUGUGGUUUGUUAUAGACUCAAUGAAAGUAUUUGUCUGCGUAGCGAGACUUGAGCGGCUUCGUUGGGUUGCGGUCCUAGACGAUAUAAUUACAGUAUUAGUGUAAAACAAAGGAAUAUUUUGAGUCGAAAAAAUUUACUUUGUGUAAGAUCCUAUUAUAAUUCGAAGUGACUGUAAUUUGGUAAGAAGAUUCAUUUCACUACUGUACUUGCACUAGUCAUCAGUACCUGUUUGGGGUGGUAGGAGGGUCAACACCUGACACUGAACAGCCAUCCACAGGUAGGGUAUCCGUGCUGUAGUAUUUGGUUCAUUAUACUAUGACCCCCAAACACGAGCGUAAGUCAGGUCAUGAGACACCCCAUGCACUAAACUGUGAUUAUUGGUCAUUGAUAACAGGAAGAAUACCUUGUUGAUAAAGUAGCAGGAUUUUUAUUGGCUAAAAUUCAUACCCGUCUGUUAGUGAUUAUAUCUCCUGGGACUGCCAAGUAGGAGACAAGAGUUACACACCCCUGGCUGGUAGUUAUUGUAUAAAAAUAUAAAAGUUCUACAGUGUUCUUGACAAGGAGUGUACUGUACCCGUGUAUAAACAGUAUAUUUAUUAACGAGCAAUAUACAAUAGUGUUAUUGUUUAUUACAGUAAUCCUAAUUUAAGUGUUAUAUUGUCAUGUCAGGACUCAUUAUUAUUAUUAUUUUAAGUUUAUUCUUUUUUAAUAUCAAUAAAAGAGUAAGAACUCCCCCACACACUUCAUGUUCAGUACAGUAUGAUGUAAUGUACUGAUUUCCCACACACAAUAACAGUACAGAGUGUGGACAGUACAUGAACUAAACCCCAGUUGAGUCCACUCAAGUAUUAUUAAUAUAGAGUCAAAGUCCAUUAACUGUGCUGUCGUGAACCUGUGUUGAACCCUUACUGGCAGUGAGGAGUGCUGCCACUCGCAGCCGUGGUUACUAUGUCAUCUUUCAUGACAGUUUCAAGUUGAAGGGACAACUACACCUUUGUGCUGAAGCUUGAGAGUCACGCCUACCCUUACCACACCUCAGUGGAUGAUAUAGGUAAGGGAACUGUGUUAGCUAACUAAAAAGCCAGAUCUGGUUCUCAACUCAAUAAUUAUUUCAUGUGAUAACUAAGUAUAACUUGCCUCCAAUAUUUUUUAUAUACGCAAACGCUUUUCUCGGAAUAUUACGCGUAAACUUCUUAAUAAAAUCUUCCAGCUUCGAAUCUCCGUUUAUAAAGAUGGUUUCUAUGAAAUCGAUAAUUCGCCUUCUUACUCUUCUUCGCUUCACCGCAACACUCUGCUUUCUCUUAUUGUAUUAUUGUUGACGAAAACUUCACUAAUAUUUUGUUCUAACUUUUGAUAAUAAUUCUAACUUUUUAAUUAAUAUCCGUCUCUGUGUGGGUGGUUAUGAGUUAGUGUUGACCAUAGCAGCGACCACUACCUGACGCCGUGUUAGUUGUAUCAAGACCCGCGCAAGUUACGGUCACAGUAGAGUAUUAUCAAGACCCGCGCAAGUUACGGUCACAGUAGAGUAUUAUCAAGACCCGCGCAAGUUACGGUCACAGUAGAGUAUUAUCAAGACCCGCGCAAGUUACGGUCACAGUAGAGUAUUAUCAAGACCCGCGCAAGUUACGGUCACAGUAGAGUAUUAUCAAGACCCGCGCAAGUUACGGUCACAGUAGAGUAUUAUCAAGACCCGCGCAAGUUACGGUCACAGUAGAGUAUUAUCAAGACCCGCGCAAGUUACGGUCACAGUAGAGUAUUAUCAAGACCCGCGUUAGUUAUGCUACGGCAGCGCAUGUUACCACCAGACCAAAAUAACUUACACACCACUGUACGUCUUCCCGCCAAGAUAAUUAUUUAGAAUGUCUGUGAAUUUUCAUGUUUUCUCAACCUAACCCAGAUUACCUAACCUAAGAUCUUAAAACUAAACUUAACCAGAUAAUCCGAACUUAACCGAAUUGAACCCUAUCUAAACUAACAUAAUGCUAAUGAUGUAAUCUAACCUAACUUGUUAUCUUAAAUUAACCUAAAUUAUGUAACUUAAACUAACCUGAUCAUAUCACUGUUACCAACCUCGUGUUUGCUUGUGUGUGUUGUCCAUAUUGUGUGAAUAAUUUUGUGCCAUUGUAAUAGGAAUAAGUGUUACCAAUCCAAUGUGAAUCAGUGUGACGUAUAGGUUUAACCAACCUAGUGUGAGCCAGUGUUACCAAAACAAGGAUACAAGACACCCAAAUCAACCACAAUCGAGUGAUCACUGUACACCAUGUUUUUGGUUGACAUAAUAAGCGGAAUGUCUGGUUGACUGCCUGCGGUGAACUUGACUAGUUUACCGGAUACAUCUGACUUGUGGUUGAGAGCUACGGUUAAUAGUAUGGUUGAAUGAUGUUCAUUAGUGUCUUGGUUGGUUGUGUGGGUGAUAGUUAUUACUGUUAUGGUUGACAGUGUGAUGGUUGGUGGUGGUAAUAUUAUGGGUUAAGAUUCUCUCAUUGCUGCAGCAUGUGACCAGAUACGAAGUCUUGGUACAGUCGCCGGGUGAAGUGGUUGUUGCCGAUGUUAAUGCUAUAACAAACUACUGUACAGUGACAGUUGUAGCCUCCAGCACAGAUGACAGUUUUACCAAUAAUUCAUUCAAUCAUUUUUAGGACGAUAUAAUGCUAGUUUAAUUACGUAAAAGUUGGGCGUCCUUAGUGGGCAACACCGCUUAUGGUGGGGUGGGGGAGUUACCAGCUAGUACUGUAAUGUUAGUUGAAUAUGUCAACUCACAAUCAUCUUAUUACUGAAUUUUUUAAAGCAACUGGCAAUCCUUCCCCACAAGUUCUGUGAAUUUUUGAGGAUUAUGACUUUGUAAGAAGAAGGUGGCGUUCCCUAGGUGGGAGAGAGACGGUGGUGGCGAGCGGUGGUGUACUGCCGCAUCGCCACGCACAUCCUCCUGCCCCUUGGGGUACUGUUAUGCAUGCAUGUGCCAUUUUAAUUUUUGGAAUAAAAACGGAAAUGAUCAA
rnacentral:misc_RNA from 1 species